ensembl:lncRNA
CCCCAGAGACUGGCCGGGUUUGGAAGGUGUGUGGGGAGAAUGGUACUUUCCAGGUUUCCUCAAUAUCUGGAGACCGCAGGAAACCCAAGAGAUGGGAGGCAUUAAGCUUGCAUUAAGAAAGAUGCUUCCUACAGUUGGAACUUUCCUUAAGCAGUGACUUCCCCCUCCAACAAGAUUGCUGGCCAGCGUCUGGCUGGUCAGUGUGAGGGGUGCACAACGAGUAGAAUUAACUGAAGGCUGGACUUUCAGAGCCCCUGAAUCUGAAAGUGACUGGUCUCUGUCAGCUGUGAGCUCUGUGAGACCAGGCACCAGUCUGCUUUGCUCAUCACCUGUCUCCAACACCUGGCAAAAGAAUAGCUGCACCAGGUGUACCUGCUACAUUCAUUAACUGGCAAAGCCUCGAGGCAAUGAGGCCCAGGAGAGACGAUUUUGAGAGAUGAAUGGCUAACCUGCCCCUGCUGACAGAAACUCCAGGGCACAAUCUGGGAGGAGACAAGCUGUAAUAUACAGAAGUCCAAGGCUCCAUCAUUAGCCAAAUUCAACACCUGCUGACCAGAGCUCAAUCAAGAAACCAACAGACAGUAGUUUCUAUGUUCCAGAAGCCCUUCCCUGGGGUCUUCUCCGAUGUGCACUGUUCGCUGCUACAGAUUGUCCUUGCGGCUCUGAGGCCCCUCCUUGAGUCUCCAGGCCCCAGUGCAAUGUCAGGAAGAAAAGCUGAGCCCCUCUGUCCUGAUGUCCAAUCCUGGCUCCUCUCAUACAUGUCCUGGGUGUCCCCUAUGAUGUCCUUGACCCUGGGGCAGAUGGUCUCUACACAACUAUGCAGUAAACCUCUGAGUGGCUCAUCUCUGUCUCUCUCUCUCUCUUUUUUUAAAAGAGGAUUUAGGCUUUACAGCAUAGCUAAAAAUACCACUGAAGAGCCUGCCUCUGUUUGGAGAGGUUCAGACAGUAAAGAAUCUGCCUGCAAAGCCUAUAG